rnacentral:rRNA from 1 species
UGGGGAAUCUUAGACAAUGGGCGCAAGCCUGAUCUAGCCAUGCCGCGUGAGUGAAGAAGGCCCUAGGGUCGUAAAGCUCUUUCGCCUGUGAAGAUAAUGACGGUAGCAGGUAAAGAAACCCCGGCUAACUCCGUGCCAGCAGCCGCGGUAAUACGGAGGGGGUUAGCGUUGUUCGGAAUUACUGGGCGUAAAGCGCGCGUAGGCGGGCUGGAAAGUUGGGGGUGAAAUCCCGGGGCUCAACCCCGGAACUGCCUCCAAAACUGUCAGCCUAGAGGUCGAGAGAGGUGAGUGGAAUUCCGAGUGUAGAGGUGAAAUUCGUAGAUAUUCGGAGGAACACCAGUGGCGAAGGCGGCUCACUGGCUCGAUACUGACGCUGAGGUGCGAAAGUGUGGGGAGCAAACAGGAUUAGAUACCCCCGUAGUCC